UGAGAACAUCCACAUUCUUCCUGGUGGUAACAAGGUUGAUGUAAAAAAGAGGCUGGUUAAUUAAAGCCAAACAAGUCACUUUUCAAAGGAUGGGAAACCUACGGUACUAUGAAAAAGAGCAACUACCACUAUGAGAAGCCCUUCCUUUACCUCGCAACGAAGUUUGCUAGGUAAAGAAGCCGAUGGAUAAAAAUCAACUAGAUGCUUUUCUUGGCUCUAUGUAAUCCGAUUGGCCCAGUGUAGAGGAGGGUAAUACUUGGCCUCAUGUAUUCCCUCCUGGUUCACCAAACUCUGAGGCCAACUGCCUCCUUUGGUGUUGUGUCGGUUUAUUAGAAACCAUGGGAGCUCGGCUUGUGAGUCCGUUCUGCCCUUCGGAGCAAGGAGGGUCAUCUUCCAGACCGGCGGGAGAUAGGCCUAGCGCUGAUUCGAUUGCAACCCACCUGGGAGAAGUAGGUCGAAUCAGGAAUUAUCUUGCUCAUGUUGUGACAGUGACAGGGGAAAAUUCAUGGGGUCUGUAUGAGGACAUGUGAAACUUACAGGUUCAGCCGUCAGUCUCUUGUUGAUCCACAUGAGCUCAUGAGGCCUGGUGCACAUUAUCAUGUGAGACAAUGGUACAACGGUUGAUAUUCCUCCGACCCUUAUUUGGUAGAGCAGGUUAAAGUUAUGUUGGGUGGGAUUCAUGUAAUAAUGUGUCAGUUAUUGCUCAGUUUGUUCCUCGACCUGCUCCGCGUCGAAACCUAGGUGUUCAAAGGGGUCAAAAUCUCGCCUAAUACCUUCGGGAUUUGAUUGGAUCUCAUGGUCCGCUGACAGAGGGAUUCAGAGUAAGGCCACUUCCAAUGUGUAUGCAUGAGUGAACCUAAAAAAUCUGUAUGCAUGUUAUGUGUGUGUUUCUUUCAUUACAGUGCACCCACCAUUUGGCUUCAGAUUGGUAGCUUGUGUGGCCACGAGCAUGUACGACACUUGGCCACUGCUUUUGGGUAGUCUCUCUGAAUGUUGUGCCUUUUAACUCUCUGCUCAGCAUGCAGUUGAAAAGAUGUGCAGACACGAAUGCUAGUUUCUUGUAUACUGAUGUUGUAUAUUGUUGUUCCGAUGAAUUUAGAGAUGAUCUUUAAUACAUCUUAUAUGAGUGUACUUUCGGAAAUAUUUAAAUGUUAUGCAUACCAUUUGUUUCUGAAGUUAAGGAAACUUCUAUCAUUGUCGGUCUCAGAUCCACGUCAAAGUUAAGGCAAUUCACAGCGAUUUCUGCCAUCUGUUCAAGAAGAUCCAAAUUUCUUGCCACCGCAAUUUCCUCAGUGAACAGCUCAGUUGAUUUCCUACCUUGCGAGUGAUUCUCAAGGAAUUUUCUCACUAAGCUAUUAUUAUCACUAUGUGUGGCCUUCUGCCUAGUAAGAAUCUCCAAGAUGACAACUCCAAAGCUAUAGACAUCACUUUUUAGUUUUGAAUGGAAGAAGCAAUAACUUUGUCCAGUCAAGACUAACGAGUGGAUCAUCAUGUGGCCUUUCCAUAGAGUUCUAGUGUUAGUAUCAAAAUGUCACGUUGCUAACUGACACCAUGUUACAUAAACAAAAUAAUAGUCUCUUUUCUAGUCUUUAAUUUUAAGCAGAAAUGUCGUGUAGUGUUCUUGAAGGUACACAUGCGAUCAGUGUGAUUAAUCAAAAGGUGUCAAACUGUGAUUUUCCUUUUAUUUCUGUUACAAUUUAAUAGAUCAGCUCUAACAUCCGAUUUAUGAAAUAGAGAAUAUCUGGAGCCUAUAACAUUUUCUAGUUGACUUACCGACAGUGAAGUUUUCACAAGUAUUGAGGCAUCAGUGCUUGAUGUCUUCAAGAAGAACCCAGAUAGAGGUGUCUCCAUGUACUUUUGUAUUUAACUUAUUAACUAGGGCGUCUGGUGUUAAUUGCAUUUAUGUCGACUAAUUCUUUUAGUAUCCUGGAUAGAGUCAGGCAUGUAUAUUGCUGGGAGUAGAUUUGUGUUUUAUGUUUCAUGCUAGAUUUCGUUCCGCUUUUGUUUGGCUUAUGCACUUGGAGUUGGACUGUUUACUUAGAUGUCAUUUGAGUUGUGUUCUUUAUGCACUUACAUUUUCCAUUCAUUGAUUUGUGAUUGAUUGCUCAAAAAAGCAAGAGAGAUCAUGCUGAAAUUUCCAACUUUCUUGGUAAUUAAACAUUGACUCAUUAAUUAGCUUAGCUUAGCAUCGACAUUUCUUUCUCGAAUUUUGAUUACACGUGAACAUCAGUGCAUGUUUGAGCUAGAUAAGCUAGCAUGAUUUGAAGCACACCAGGGCAGUACGUGAGCUAGAAGGACUGUCAAGUCUGUCGUACUAGCACAAUAAUAGCUUAUGAGAAUGGAGAAAAAACUCUAUCCUAUGAGUACAUACAUAAUGGCAUGGUUGUUUAUGCGGUUUGUCUCUGUGUUCGUCUUGAUAUUUUUCUUAAAUCUGGUAGACUGAUGAUAUUUGAUACCUAUAGGGUAGUUACGUCUAGUGAAAUCCUCCAAAAUAUAGUGAUACUAUAUUUUCAAUCUUGUGUCUGUCCAUCUACGCAAUAUUUUUCUCAUAUAUGCCGAUAUGAGUUACUACUUUUGGACCUUUUUCUUAUUAUUUGGUUGUACUGAUUUCGAUCAUUUGUCAGUCAAUCUAAUCAAUAAUAUUUCUUCUUAUUUUUGGCUUCUUAAUGGUCAUGGCUACACACCCCUCCAGGGAGCUCCUUGGGUUGCUUUUAUUAGUCAGGCCAUGUACUUUUGUAUUUAACUUAUUAACUAGGGCGUCUGGUGUUAAUUGCAUUUAUGUCGACUAAUUCUUUUAGUAUCCUGGAUAGAGUCAGGCAUGUAUUGCUGGGAGUAGAUUUGUGUUUUAUGUUUCUAUUCUUCAGCUGACAGCAUAUGAAGAUCAAUUUAACUUCCAUGCUCUGGAUUGAAACCACUAGGUCAAAUACAAUUUAUUUCCUACAAUACUUGGAAUUAUCUAUUCUAAGGAAACAAAGUACUACCAUGUUUUGUAAAUAUGAGAUUAUCCAUGUUUUGGUUCAAGUGUAG